AUGGGGACGGCGGGGAAGGGCGCGUGGGUCGUGCCGGCGCCGGCGUACAAGGAGGUGGAGGGGUGGGAGGGGUCGGGGGACGACUCGCCGGGCUACAGGUGCGGCCACUCGCUCACCGUCAUCGCCCCCACCAAGGGCCACGGCCCGCGCCUCAUCCUCUUCGGCGGCGCCACGGCGAUCGAGGCCGGCGCGACCUCCGGCCUCCCCGGCAUCAGGCUCGCGGGGGUGACCAACACGGUGCACUCGUACGACGUGGACAAGCGGAGGUGGACGAGGUUACAUCCAGCUGGAGAUCCUCCUUCUCCAAGGGCUGCACAUUCUGCUGCUGCUGUGGGCACCAUGGUUGUUUUCCAGGGUGGGAUUGGACCAGCGGGGCAUUCAACAGACGAUCUCUAUGUGCUUGAUCUGACAAACGACAAGUUCAAAUGGCACCGGGUUGUUGUUCAGGGGGCUGGUCCUGGUCCUCGCUAUGGUCAUUGCAUGGAUUUGGUAGCGCAGCGUUACCUUGUGUCAGUCUCGGGAAAUGAUGGCAAGCGGGUCUUAUCAGAUGCUUGGGCUUUGGACACAGCUCAGAAACCAUAUAAGUGGCAGAAACUUAACCCUGAUGGUGAUAGACCUUCAGCAAGGAUGUAUGGCACUGCCAGUGCACGCUCCGAUGGCAUGCUUUUACUUUGUGGUGGAAGGGAUGCUUCUGGGACGCCGCUCUCUGAUGCUUAUGGACUACUUAUGCAUACAAAUGGUCAGUGGGAGUGGACUCUGGCUCCCGGGAUAUCUCCAUCUCCAAGAUAUCAGCAUGCAGCUGUCUUUGUUGGCGCUCGGCUGCAUGUUACUGGAGGUGUCCUUAGAGGAGGGAGAGCUAUUGAAGGGGAGGGUGCAAUUGCAGUUCUGGACACUGCUGCUGGAGUUUGGUUGGAUAGAAAUGGCAUUGUGACCUCUCGCACUCUAAAAUCUUCCAAUGAACAUGAUGCUUCUUCGGAUCUACUUCGUCGUUGCCGCCAUGCAGCUGCUUCUGUUGGUUCUCAGAUAUACAUUUAUGGUGGACUGAGGGGAGAUAUCCUCCUCGAUGAUUUUCUUAUUGCUGAGAAUGCACCCUUCCAAUCAGAAACUGAUAGGGUCCCAAGGUCAGAAAAUCAAAAUAGAAACCAUAAUUUUAAUUCUGACUCUCGGCCCUUCGAGCAAUAUACAAAUAACAGUCAUGAGACAGCUCCUGGUUUCAGCACGGACAAGAAGUCAAUUGACAUGUUGACAGAGGCAUCAGCCGCCGAAGCUGAAGCUGUUAGUGCUGUAUGGCGAGCUGCAAAGGAAGCAUCUCAUGCAUCUUCAGAAGACAGUCUUUCAGAUGGAAUAGGAUCCGAGUCCCCUCUCAGUGAAACUUCACCAAUGGCUGAUGAUUUAGAUGAUGGGGGCUCCAUGGAACCAGAUGUGAAGUUGCAUUCUAGAGCAGUUGUAGUUGCUAAAGAAGCAGUAGGAGAUUUAGGAUGUUUGGUCCGACAGCUUUCACUUGAUCAGUUUGAGAAUGAAAGCAGAAGAAUGCAUCCCGCGAACAAUGAUCAAUCAUAUUCAUCGAAGAAAGCAUUAAAUAGACAAAGGUCUCCACAAGGUUUGCAUAAGAAGGUCAUUUCGCUCUUAUUGAGGCCAAGGAAUUGGAAUGCUCCAGCUGAUAGGACCUUUUUCCUGGACUCUUAUGAAGUUGGCGAGCUAUGCUAUGCCGCUGAGCAGAUUUUUAUGCAGGAACCAACUGUCUUACAACUAAAAGCACCAGUUAAAGUAUUUGGUGAUCUGCAUGGGCAGUUUGGGGACCUAAUGCGCCUUUUCGAUGAAUAUGGUUAUCCGUCAACUGCUGGUGACAUAACAUAUAUUGAUUAUCUCUUCUUGGGAGACUAUGUCGACCGAGGUCAGCACAGCUUGGAAACAAUAACAUUACUUCUUGCUCUUAAAAUAGAGUACCCUGAACAUGUCCACUUGAUUAGAGGAAAUCAUGAGGCUGCUGACAUCAAUGCUCUUUUCGGCUUCCGUCUUGAAUGCAUUGAGAGAAUGGGUGAAAGUGAUGGUAUAUGGGCUUGGACUAGAUUCAACCAACUAUUUAAUUAUCUCCCUCUGGCUGCUAUGAUAGAAAAGAAAAUAAUAUGCAUGCAUGGUGGCAUCGGGAGGUCAAUAAACAGUGUGGAGCAAAUUGAAAAAAUUGAAAGGCCUAUUACAAUGGAUGUCGGAUCUAUUGUCCUCAUGGAUCUUUUAUGGUCUGAUCCUACAGAAAAUGAUAGUGUAGAGGGUUUGAGGCCAAAUGCACGAGGACCUGGCUUGGUAACAUUUGGGCCUGAUCGAGUGGCAGAAUUCUGUAAACGAAACAAAUUGCAGUUGAUCAUAAGAGCUCAUGAGUGUGUUAUGGAUGGAUUUGAGCGUUUCGCCCAUGGGCAGUUGAUCACUUUAUUUUCAGCCACUAAUUAUUGUGGCACUGCAAAUAAUGCUGGUGCCAUACUUGUGGUGGGAAGGGGACUAGUUAUUGUCCCUAAGUUAAUUCAUCCACUUCCACCACCUGUUAAUUCUCCUGAGUCAUCCCCUGAACGUGCCAUGGAUGCCACAUGGAUGCAGGAACUUAACAUACAACGGCCACCUACACCAACUAGAGGACGGCCGCAUUCUGCUGAAAUUUCUUUGCCAGUUGCAAGGUACAUACAUUAUACCUCGGGACAGCCAGCCAACAGAGCAUCAUGGACUCCCAAUUUUUCGAGACAUUGCCCGGUAGUUAAGUUGAUAGUGACUCAUCAGUGUUCAGUGCAGUCAGCCCCUCAUUGGGAAGCUACAUACAUAACAGUUCUGAAGGGAAGAAUGGAAUGUUGUCAGAUAAUUGUCGGAGAGCGGGAGUCUGUGUGUAUCGUUGUCGCGGUUUACCUGUAA
rnacentral:rRNA from 1 species